AACGAACGCUGGCGGCAUGCCUAACACAUGCAAGUCGAACGAGACCUUCGGGUCUAGUGGCGCACGGGUGCGUAACGCGUGGGAACCUGCCCUUAGGUUCGGAAUAACUCCCCGAAAGGGGUGCUAAUACCGGAUAAUGUCUUCGGAUCAAAGAUUUAUCGCCUUUGGAUGGGCCCGCGUUGGAUUAGCUAGUUGGUAGGGUAAAAGCCUACCAAGGCGACGAUCCAUAGCUGGUCUGAGAGGAUGAUCAGCCACACUGGGACUGAGACACGGCCCAGACUCCUACGGGAUGCAGCAAUGCGGAAUAUUGGACAAUGGGCUAAAGCCUGAACCAGCAAUGCCGCGUAAGUGAUGAUGUCCUUAGGGUUGUAAAGCUCUUUUACCCGGGAUGAUAAUGACAGUACCGGAAGAAUAAGCUCCGGCUAACUCCGUG
rnacentral:rRNA from 1 species